rnacentral:rRNA from 1 species
CCUACGGGGUGCAGCAGUGGGGAAUAUUGGGCAAUGGACGAAAGCCUGACCCAGCAAUGCCGCGUGAAUGAAGAAGGUCUUAGGAGUGGCAAAUUCUGUCCUAUGGGAGGAAAAAAAUGACGGUACCAUAGGAGGAAGACUCGGCUAACUACGUGCCAGCAGCCGCGGUAAUACGUAGGGGGCGAGCGUUGUCCGGAAUUACUGGGCGUAAAGAGAGCGUAGGCGGCACUACAAGUCUCAUGUGAAAUACCCGGGCUUAACUUAGGGGUUGCAUGGGAAACUGUAGAGCUUGAGUACAGGAGAGGCAAGCGGAAUUCCUGGUGUAGCGGUGAAAUGCAUAGAGAUUAGGAGGAACACCAGUGGCGAAGGCGGCUUGCUGGACUGAAUCUGACGCUGAGGCUCGAAAGCGUGGGGAGCAAACAGGAUUAGAUACCCUGGUAGUC